UAUCUCUGUAGAGUCUGCAUAUCAAUAAGCGGAGGAAAAGAAACUAACUAGGAUUCCCUCAGUAACGGCGAGUGAAGCGGGAAGAGCUCAAAUUUGAAAUCUUCAAGGUUCUACCUUGACGAAUUGUAGUUUAAAGAAGUGUUUUCUGUUGGAGUUUUGGUAAAAGUUCUUUGGAAUAGGACACCAUAGAGGGUGAGAAUCCCGUAUUUGACCAUUAUUUCCAGCUUUGUGAUACACUUUCAAAGAGUCGGAUUGUUUGGGAAUGCAGUCCAAAAUGGGUGGUAAAUUUCAUCUAAAGCUAAAUAUUGGCGAGAGACCGAUAGCGAACAAGUACCGUGAGGGAAAGAUGAAAAGAACUUUGAAAAGAGAGUUAAACAGUACGUGAAAUUGUCAAAAGGGAAGCGUUUGACACCAGUGUUGUUUUUCCGAAAAUCAAUUACGAAUGUUUUGUUUUUAAGAAGUUAUGACUUCAUCGGCUUGCUUCUUUCUUUACGAAACUUUCUUAAUGCACUUUUCGGUUAACAAGUCAACAUCAAUUUCUUUUGUUGUAAAAGGGUACUGAGGAAGGUGGCUUUCUUUUCGGAGAAAGUGUUUAUAGCCUUGUGCCUCUGCAAUCGGAGAGAUUGAGGUCUGCAGCGUAGAUCCUUCGGGGUUAGAUACAUUUGUGCUAAGUUAUAGCUUUUCAUAGACAACUUGUUGACUAUGUUUAGUCUUGUAGCUUACUCGCUUAUGCUAUUUUACCUACGCUUAGGAUGUUGAUGUGAUACUGCGAGC
rnacentral:rRNA from 1 species